rnacentral:misc_RNA from 1 species
UUAAGUUCAGCGGGUAUCCCUACCUGAUCCGAGGUCAACAUGGAGAAAUUAAUCGCGAGACUGGUGCCGUCGCCCUAACGUGACAACAUUUAUGCGCCCGUGGUUUGACGUACCAUCACUGAUUUUUAGGCAUGCCCCAAGGCAAGGCCCAACAUCAAGUUAACCAAAAGGUUUAACUUGAGGGGUGUAAUGACGCUCGA